GGUGCAAUUAAAAGGAACUUAUCCAGUGAAGAAGUGGCAAGACCCAGGCGUUCCACACCAACUCCAGAACUUAUAAGCAAAAAGCCUCCAGAUGACACUACGGCCCUUGCUCCUCUCUUUGGCCCACCACUAGAAUCAGCUUUUGAUGAACAGAAGACAGAAGUUCUUUUAGAUCAGCCUGAGAUAUGGGGUUCAGGCCAACCAAUUAAUCCAAGCAUGGAGUCGCCAAAGUUAACAAGGCCUUUUCCCACUGGAACACCUCCACCACUGCCUCCAAAAAAUGUACCAGCUACCCCACCCCGAACAGGAUCCCCCUUAACAAUUGGACCAGGUGCAUCAUCCCCUGCUCGACCAGCCACUCCUUUGCUUCCUUGCAGCAGUACCACUCCACCUCCACCUCCUCCCCGGCCUCCAUCCAGGCCAAAGCUACCUCCAGGAAAGCCUGGAGCUGGAGAUGUGUCCAGACCUUUUAGCCCUCCCAUUCAUUCUUCCAGCCCUCCUCCAAUAGCACCCUUAGCGCGGGCUGAAAGCACUUCUUCAAUAUCGUCAACCAAUUCCUUGAGCGCAGCCACCACUCCCACAGUUGGUAAAAAUUCUCUCCUCUCUUUUAAUCCUUUUGUGGUUUUGACUGGCUAUUUUUUAUGAUCUGAAAUCCCCAAGGCCCUGUGUUUCUGGUUGAAAUUGUUUUGCUGUGUGUUUUGCUAUUAUUACCUGACUCUUCUUUUAAAACCACCUUCUCAGCAAAGGAGGCAAAGUGCUUUACCUAAGCAAAUAAACAAAUAAAAGAACAUUAACACCUGU
rnacentral:sRNA from 1 species